CAGGAAAAGCCUCUAAGCUUCAGGUAACAGUGAACCGUACCGUAAACCGACACAGGUGGUUGGGAUGAGUAUUCUAAGGCGCUCGAGAGAUUCAUGGCUAAGGAACUAGGCAAAAUGGCCCUGUAACUUCGGGAGAAGGGGCGCCCGCUUCGGCGGGCCGCAGUGAAAAGGCCCAGGCGACUGUUUAACAAAAACACAUGGCUUUGCGAAAUCGAGAGAUGAUGUAUAAGGCCUGACACCUGCCCGGUGCCGGAAGGUUAAGAGG
rnacentral:rRNA from 1 species